rnacentral:rRNA from 1 species
CAGUAGCCACGGUAAAACGUAGGGCGCAAGCGUUAUCCGGAAUUAUUGGGCGUAAAGAGCUCGUAGGCGGUUUGUCGCGUCUGCCGUGAAAGUCCGGGGCUCAACCCCGGAUCUGCGGUGGGUACGGGCAGACUAGAGUGAUGUAGGGGAGACUGGAAUUCCUGGUGUAGCGGUGAAAUGCGCAGAUAUCAGGAGGAACACCGAUGGCGAAGGCAGGUCUCUGGGCAUUAACUGACGCUGAGGAGCGAAAGCAUGGGGAGCGAACAGGAUUAGAUACCCCAGUAGUCCCUGUCUCUUAUAC